GACGAACCGAGCGAACGUUAUUCGGAAUCACUGGGCUUAAAGGGCGCGUAGGCGGCUUGCCAAGUCAGGGGUGAAAUCCUCCGGCUUAACCGGAGAAGUGCUUUUGAUACUGGCGAGCUUGAGGGAGGUAGGGGCAGGCGGAACUUCCGGUGGAGCGGUGAAAUGCGUAGAUAUCCGGAGGAACACCGGUGGCGAAGGCGGCUUCCUGGACCGACACUGACGCUGAGGCGCGAAAGCUAGGGGAGCAAACGGG
rnacentral:rRNA from 1 species